rnacentral:rRNA from 1 species
UACGUAGGGGGCGAGCGUUGUCCGGAGUUACUGGGCGUAAAGGGCAUGCAGGCGGUCGGACGCGUCUCGGGUGACAGCGGGUGGCUUAACUACCCGAGUGGUCGAAAGACGGUUUGACUUGAGGACGCGAGAGGGACACGGAAUUCCGGGUGGAGUGGUGAAAUGCGUAGAGAUCCGGAGGAACACCGAAGGCGAAGGCAGUGUCCUGGCGCGUAACUGACGCUGAGGUGCGAAAGCCAGGGGAGCGAACGGG